GCACACACCCCCUACCUCCCUGCCUACAUUCCACCCAGCCUGACUGCUCUGGAAGGAAGAAUCCCUGCAAGGUGAGUGUUAUUAUAUCCAUUUGUGGACCAGGACUGCGGCUCAGAAGCUUUUCCCAGGACACUGAACUCUGACAGGUGAAUAGCUGCCAAGUGGUGGAGGUUGGCCUGCAGUGAGCAUCAGUCUGACUUCGAAGGACAGAAUGACACAUGGUACAAGCUUUCUGUCUUACUGCCACACGUCAGUGUCCUGGGAGAUGAACCAGAUGCAGCUCCCUGAUGAAUGUGGGAAUAAAAAUUUAU
ensembl:lncRNA novel transcript